UACGUAGGGGGCUAGCGUUGUCCGGAUUUAUUGGGCGUAAAGAGCGUGUAGGCGGCCAGGUAGGUCUGCUGUGAAAACUCGAGGCUCAACCUCGAGACGUCGGCGGAAACCAUCUGGCUAGAGUCCGGAAGAGGAGAGUGGAAUUCCCGGUGUAGUGGUGAAAUGCGUAGAUAUCGGGAGGAACACCAGUGGCGAAGGCGACUUCCUGGCCUGUUCUUGACGCUGAGGCGCGAAAGCUGAGGGGAGCAAACGGG
rnacentral:rRNA from 1 species